UUCCUUGAACAUUGUUUACAAUGACUGGAUGCUUGCUCAGCCUUAACUUUUCCGGGCUGCAGCUUUGGAAAACGCAAACUGAAGAAAGAUACAUCAGGCUCUCCGGUCCAACCCAGGAGAAAGCAUUUGAGGAAGUCUGCAGGGGCUCCUGGAUACACAGUAGCCAGAGCCCCGGCCAGGCUGCACCAGGGAGGUGGCAGCUCUUCAUGACUGGGACGGUUCCAGCUGCAAUUCUCAAGGAAGUACAGUCCCAGUGUAAGCAAGGACUCAGCACCAGCACUGACAAGCAAGUAGCUACUGCUCUUCAUUCUGGGAAGCGGGGCACCGAGAGAACUCCAAAUUCUCCACGAUAACACCUUCCCCUCUCGACUUUUAGCUGGAGCCACAUUUUGGUAACUUGCAUUUGCACAAUACUUGUAACUUGUUCAAAGCUCUUUGAUACUUAUUAUUUUAUGAGAUUGGAUCAUCACAAGCCCCAGAUGGAGAGCUAUCCCCCUGUUUUGCAUGAAGAAUCGGAGGCCCGGAAAGGCCCAGGAUUCCAGCAGCCAAGUUGGUGUAGCAGAGUCAAGACUUGAGAGGCCACAUCGCCGUCUGUCCGGAUGCCCGGCUUCCCUCCACGCCAUGCAGCACCCGCCGGCCCCCAGACCUGGGGGCUGUGACCCAACCUUGUCUAUUUUGUUUGAAAGCCUGUCCCACUCUGACUCCUACUCUGACCCACACUUUAUUCAGAUGGCACUAAGUUGGACACCAGGGCCCAGCACGGGGAGCACGACCUAGCUAACUUUUAUGGCAAGAUGAUGGAGUGCUUGGGAAAUGCUGACAAGGACAAGCAUGUAAGCAAUCUCUGUAUGUGGUAAUGUGUUUUCGAAAUAUUGUAAUCUGAUCAAAGCAGAACACAAAGCGACAUGCACCUACUAAUCACAGGGAUGUGGAGUUUUCACCUCUGUUCCAACUGGCUCUGCCUCUGUUCUCUGAGCAGGCACCUCUGAUCCCUGGACUCUGACAACAGUUUGGGCAAACCCACAGGAUACGAGCUACUUUAGGCUAUAGGUCCAAAGACUCCUGGGUGGGCAAGUAUGGCUCGUGGCCCCUGCUGAGAGAUAAAGAGGAAGGUACCAGUCUGGCACCCUUGUGGAUGAAUCUGGUAUUCUGGUCCUCCUGCUCUCUGUCCCUUGUGGGACAGGAAUACAGCUGAGAAGGAAGUUGGGGGCUUGAAAGAGGGGUCAGAGGAGAGAAUUCUAACAGUUAGGAUGAGGAUCUGCAGAAGUAUGCUUCCUUUUGGGCACUUUCGAAGCCUGAUUUAAACAGAUGGCCCCCUGGGGUGGGGUGGUUGGAACAUGAGCUUCUCUGACUAAGACUCUAGGGCCCCAGAGGCAUAUAUUUCACACUCUCCCCAGUCUUGAACACAAAGCAGUGAAAAAGAUGUCAUUUCAAAGCACAGCUUCUUUCUUGAAGAGUUGAGCCUGUCAAAGACCUGGUGGGCUUCUGGAUAUAAGGCGGUGGGCUUGGUGAGGCAGGGAGAAUUUGAGAAAAGGGCACUGGGAAGACCUGAAUUACUCAUCACAGUAGAGAGGAAUCUGGCUUCCCAGAGUCAUUCAAGGAGGAGAGGGGGAGGUGGAAGAAUGGGAAGGGAGUAACGGAUGGGGUAACUGGGUGACUGGGCAUUAAGGAGGACACAUAUUAUAAUGAGCCCUGGGUGUUAUAUACAAUUGAUGAAUCACUGAACUCUACCUCUGAAACGAAUAAUAUACUAUAUGUUAAUUAAUUCAAUUUAAAUAAAAUAAUAUAGGAAGGGAGUAACAGGAGGAAGCACAAUAGACAGCAGUGGGCUAGAGGAGCUUUGUGGGGUGGUGUGGCCAGUGAGAAACCCCAGGUGACAGGACAGCCAAAAUAACUUUUCAGAACAUUUCAGAAAUGUGAUUUUAAAUUGUUUGCUGUGUGAUGUAAUCUCUCCCCUGUGGCCCACAAACCUUCAUUAAAAGUUCUGCUACAUGUUACAGCAUUAUUUUUGCAAUUGUUUUGGAAUAGGGGUGGGGGCUGUGUUCCA